rnacentral:lncRNA from 1 species
CUCAUUGCAUUCUAGGAAUUGUGGAUUCCAAACUCUUAUUAAUGGAAUGAGUUAUUUCAUGCUCUUUUGAAAUGCAUAGGCUACACAUUUACUAAAUGAGAAUUUUGUGACCCUGCUACCCAGUUACCUCAAAUGACAACCAGUCAACUUCUAGAUCUAUGAAGUGAACCUGAGCUGAGCCUAGAACUCCCCAGCUAGGCCAAACCAAGAGUAGAAGCACAAGGCUGGCUUACACACUCAGGAUAAAGAAUGGCUGGGCUGUAGUCUCCAGACCUGGAGUUCAGCUCGGUGUUCAGCUGUGGGUGUCUGCUUCUGCUUCCAUCAGCUACUGGAUGAAGGCUCUAGGAUGGCAUAUAAGAGCCCAGGGAACCCAACAGAAGAGGAGGAAUAAAGAGUGUAAGAGCCAGAGGGGAUGGAGGUCACCAAGGAAACAAAGGUCCUCUACAUCAACAUAAGCAAAGCUCGUAUGAACUCACAGAGACUUAAGCAGCAUACACAGGACCUGCAUGGGUCUGCACUCAGGUUCUCUGCACUUAUAUAAUGGCUUCCAGCUAUUGUCAAAAAGAAGAUAUUUCAGGAGCCCCUGAGGCAGAUGAAUCCAAGCUUCCCCGUGGAGCAGCAGCCUUGAUGACAGAGAUACUCCAGGGAGGAAGCCAGUGUAAAAAUAACUCUAGCUUCCUGCUGGGGCCACAGUGGGGUGCUUAAGGGGCAAGCCAACUGUCAAGAUGAAUGGGCUGCUGUGGAAUGCUAUUUCUAGUUGUCAAGCAAGUUUGGCAUCUUCUUCCAACACCCUGGUAACUCAAAGGGAACCUGAAAUGAUCUAAAGAAUCCCAUAGGAAGUGAGCCAUUCAAAAGUAACACAAAGCUGAGGUAUAAAAAGGAAUAUUUGUAUUUUAAAAAUACAUCUUUGACCACUACUCACAUCUUAUUUGCGAAGUAUUUUCAGGAAAUACUCUCACUGGCUAGGCUUACUCAGUGUAAUCUAUCACUUUCAACUGAACUCAAGGGAGGACAUGCUUGUGUAAUUAGAAGUACUGCCAUCACCACCACAAAAAUAUUAAAGACAAUCUCUACCUCAGGAUAACAGCCUCAAAUUAUGCUCUUUUCUUUUCCUUCCAAGCAGGACUUCGUGAAUGGUCCAGUUAAAGUUGUCGAGGCCAU